CACAUUUUCUAUUCUAAAUACAUUCUAAUCAAACUCAAUUAAUUCAAUAUCAAUUUAAAUUUAUCAAUGUACUAAUUAAAUUGGAAUGGAUAAAUUUCUUUCAUUAAAAUUCUUAGAUUUAUAAUACUAACAUUUUUAACUAUUUAUAUUCAAAACAUAAUAACGUUUAUACACAUCCUAUGUACAUGCCACAUUACUAAAAGAAAAUAUACAUCACCAAAAUUUGUUGAAGUCGGGUCUGGCUUUGGAUGCUGAUUCAGUACUUGACUUCUACAACCUGCGCAUGGAAACAACUGUACGCUGAGUAUUUUAUACUCAGUGGUAUUACUAUAAAUUAAACUAUUUAAUAAUAAAAUUUCAAAUAUUGACCAUAAUCUUAUAAAUCACUUUAAAUUAAAUAUACAUAUUCAUAUAUCAUUCCAUAGAUCUUAAAUUUAUAUAUAUAUUUACAUACUAAUUAAAUUUAUAAUUUAACUCAUACAUUCUUUCUCGUAUUUUUCUAUAGUGUCAAAUCAACCAAUUUCAUUUUCAAAUUUUCAUUUCAAUUAUUUACCCUAUUAACAAGGCUCGGACUUUGACAGAUACGAGGAUUCCACCCAAACACACCAGAAUAUCCAACCUAAACACACCCGGAAUUAUUUAAAUCCUCCAGAACACACCAAUAAGGCAUUAAAUGCCUCUUCGGAUAAACCGAAGCAUAUAAUAAUAUAAUCAUCUUCUCGGCCGAACUACAAAUCUCAUCACCACAUCACAAAUCCAAUGGCAUGCCAUUUGUAUCCAAUCUAGUCCGAUAAGUUAAUAGGGUAUUAUUUUACUUUUCCAAUUUCGAAUUCAUUUCCACACAAUUUCAAAUAUUCAAACAAUUCAAAACAUCUAUUAUUUCAAUUCACAUAUAUUUCAAUAUAGCAUUUAGUAAAUAGUUUAAGUUAUAGUAAUACAAACCCGGAAUACACGUUUACUCCUCAACGAUCUUUUCUUUUUCUUUGGAUGCAGAUGCCUCGUUUUUCUUGUUAGCUACGAAAAUAAUAAUUAUUUUUACUAUUAAUUACAGCAUUAAAAAUAAUAAUAAUAUUAAUUAAAUUUUAUUCAAUUUCUACUUAUUCCCAAUUUAAUUCUAACUAAGCUUACUUAUUUUUCUAACUUAAUUCAUACUUCUUUUCUACUUAAUGUCUUAUCAUAUUUAACUCUACUUUUCAAUAUUCAUAAUUAAACCCUAAUUUAAGACUCUUUAUAACUUAAUCCCAACUAUGUAAAAUUUAUAACUUGUUUACAAAUCAAUCUUUUUAUCUAUUCUAACUAGAAAUUCUAUCAACUAAACCCCUAAUUUAACAACUUGUUCAAAAUGAAUCAUGUUCAAAAACCUAGGAACUUCCAUAACCUCCACUUGAUUUCAACAAAACUUUGUUUUAAAGUUUCUAAAUCAUCAAAAUUAAGAGAAAAGGGCUAAAUUUAACUUACCAAUUAAGCUUGAAGCUUUAAAAUCCAAUUUUCCCCUUUUCUUUUCUUUCCCCUUUUUCUUCCCCUGUUUUCGUCUCUUUCUCUAUUUCUAUUCUGUUCUUCGUUUGUAUCUUUU
rnacentral:lncRNA from 1 species